UCCUUCUGGAUGAUGAAUUCAUAGUUCAGCUGAUAGAUAUUGAUGCAUAUACAUUGAUAAUGUCUUUCGCUCCUAUCUGAUUGAUAAC